rnacentral:rRNA from 1 species
AUUGAACGCUAGCGGGAUGCUUUACACAUGCAAGUCGAACGGCAGCGCGGACUUCGGUCUGGCGGCGAGUGGCGAACGGGUAAGUAAUGUAUCGGAACGUGCCCAGUAGCGGGGGAUAACUACGCGAAAGCGUAGCUAAUACCGCAUACGCCCUACGGGGGAAAGCAGGGGAUCGUAAGACCUUGCACCAUUGGAGCGGCCGAUAUCGGAUUAGCUAGUUGGUGAGGUAACGGCUCACCAAGGCGACGAUCCGUAGCUGGUUUGAGAGGACGACCAGCCACACUGGGACUGAGACACGGCCCAGACUCCUACGGGAGGCAGCAGUGGGGAAUUUUGGACAAUGGGGGCAACCCUGAUCCAGCCAUCCCGCGUGUGCGAUGAAGGCCUUCGGGUUGUAAAGCACUUUUGGCAGGAAAGAAACGUCGCGGGCUAAUACCCCGUGGAACUGACGGUACCUGCAGAAUAAGCACCGGCUAACUACGUG